rnacentral:rRNA from 1 species
UCAGGCCUAACACAUGCAAGUAGAACGGCAGCACGGGUGCUUGCACCUGGUGGAGAGAAGAGAACGGGUGAGUAAUAUAUCGGAACGUGCCCUAGAGUGGGGGAUAACGUAGCGAAAGUUACGCUAAUACCGCAUACGAUCUACGGAUGAAAGUGGGGGACCGCAAGGCCUCACGCUCCUGGAGCGGCCGAUAUCUGAUUAGCUAGUUGGUGGGGUAAAAGCCUACCAAGGCGACGAUCAGUAGCUGGUCUGAGAGGACGACCAGCCACACUGGGACUGAGACACGGCCCAGACUCCUACGGGAGGCAGCAGUGGGGAAUUUUGGACAAUGGGGGCAACCCUGAU